rnacentral:lncRNA from 1 species
UUGGAAUACAUCUUGGUCCGGAGGGAAGGACAGUAUGACAUACGUUAAACAUCAUCACGUUACAAUAACCACUACGAGCCAUAAUAUAACAACAACAAUAACCCAGUAUAAUCCCACUUAAUGGGGUCUAGGGAGGGUAGUGUGUACGCAUACUUUAUCCCUACCCUUAGGUAGAGAGGCUGUUUCCAAAUAGACCCCGGCAUCCUUCCCUCCAAGAACUU